rnacentral:rRNA from 1 species
AAUGAACGCUGGCGGCAUGCCUAACACAUGCAAGUCGAACGAAGGCUUCGGCCUUAGUGGCGCACGGGUGCGUAACGCGUGGGAAUCUGCCCUUUGGUUCGGAAUAACAGUUGGAAACGACUGCUAAUACCGGAUGAUGACGAAAGUCCAAAGAUUUAUCGCCAGAGGAUGAGCCCGCGUAGGAUUAGCUAGUUGGUGUGGUAAAGGCGCACCAAGGCGACGAUCCUAGCUGGUCUGAGAGGAUGAUCAGCCACACUGGGACUGAGACACGGCCCAGACUCCUACGGGAGGCAGCAGUGGGGAAUAUUGGACAAUGGGCGAAAGCCUGAUCCAGCAAUGCCGCGUGAGUGAUGAAGGCCUUAGGGUUGUAAAGCUCUUUUACCCGGGAUGAUAAUGACAGUACCGGGAGAAUAAGCUCCGGCUAACUCCGUGCCAGCAGCCGCGGUAA